UCCCUGGUGGCUCAGACGGUAAAGCGUCUGCCUGCAAUGCGGGAAACUCGGGUUCAAUCCCUGGGUUGGGAA
rfam:TPA: Bos taurus chromosome 6, whole genome shotgun sequence.